AUUGAACGCUGGCGGCAUGCCUAACACAUGCAAGUCGAGCGGAGCGGCGGACGGGUGAGUCAUGCCUAGGAAUCUGCCUGGUAGUGGGGGAUAACGUCCGGAAACGGGCGCUCAUACCGCAUACUAUCAGAUGAGCCUAGGUCGGAUUCGCUAGUUGGUGGGGUAAAGGCCUACCAAGGCGACGAUCCGUAACUGGUCUGAGAGGAGGAACAGUCACACUGGAACUGAGACAGGGCCCAGACGCCAACGGGAGGCAGCAGUGGGGAAUAUUGGACAAUGGGCGAAAGCCUGAGCCAGCCAGUCCGCGGGUGUGAAGAAGGUCUUCGGAUUGUAAAGCACUUUAAGUUGGGAGGCGUUACCAACAGAAUAAGCACCGGCUAACUGCGUGCCAGCCGCCGCGGUAAUAC
rnacentral:rRNA from 1 species